rnacentral:tRNA from 1 species
CGGAAUGUAGCUCAGUUUGGUUAGAGUGCUUGUCUGGGGGGCAAGAGGUCGUGGGUUCGAGUCCCGUCAUUCCGACUA